AAGAGUCCUGCGGUAGAAAGCCACUCUAGGAGUAGGAGAGACACAGCCUUCACUGAAUGGCCAGAUCUCCAUGGAAGCAAAAUCGAAACCUGUUUCUUCAAUGUCAUCAUGCAGAGAUUACUAAAAAACACUUUCAGAAUUUAGCU